rnacentral:rRNA from 1 species
UGCCAGCCGCCGCGGUAAUACGGAGACCUCGAGCGUUACUCGGAUUUACUGGGCGUAAAGGGUGCGAAGGCGGCAAAGUAUGUCAGGUGUGAAAUCCCGGGGCUCAACUCCGGAACUGCGCCUGAAACUACUUUGCUAGAGACUCGGAGAGGUAAGCAGAAUUCUAGGUGUAGCGGUGAAAUGCGUAGAUAUCUAGAGGAAUACCAAUGGCGAAGGCAGCUUACUGGACGAGAUCUGACGCUAAAGCACGAAAGCGUGGGGAGCGAAAGGGAUUAGAUA